rnacentral:rRNA from 1 species
UACGGAGGGUGCAAGCGUUAUCCGGAUUCACUGGGUUUAAAGGGUGCGUAGGCGGGUAUAUAAGUCAGUGGUGAAAGCUCCGGGCUUAACUUGGAAACUGCCAUUGAUACUGUAUAUCUUGAAUGUCGUAGAGGUUAGCGGAAUGUUGCAUGUAGCGGUGAAAUGCUUAGAUAUGUUACAGAACACCAAUUGCGAAGGCAGCUAACUAUGCGAUAAUUGACGCUGAGGCACGAAAGCGUGGGGAGCAAACAGG